AUGUGUGACUUGGAUCUUUCACUUCCUCUCUCCCUGAGACCAUAACUUGUGAAUAUUUUCACAGGUUCUGGUUUCUGGACUAGAGUGGGUGUUGCCAUCGACGACGUCACAC
rnacentral:pre_miRNA from 10 species